rnacentral:rRNA from 1 species
UCUUCCCUCUGGCGGCGUGCCUAAUACAUGCAAGUCGAGCGAACGGACGAGAAGCUUGCUUCUCUGAUGUUAGCGGCGGACGGGUGAGUAACACGUGGAUAACCUACCUAUAAGACUGGGAUAACUUCGGGAAACCGGAGCUAAUACCGGAUAAUAUUUUGAACCGCAUGGUUCAAAAGUGAAAGACGGUCUUGCUGUCACUUAUAGAUGGAUCCGCGCUGCAUUAGCUAGUUGGUAAGGUAACGGCUUACCAAGGCAACGAUGCAUAGCCGACCUGAGAGGGUGAUCGGCCACACUGGAACUGAGACACGGUCCAGACUCCUACGGGAGGCAGCAGUAGGGAAUCUUCCGCAAUGGGCGAAAGCCUGACGGAGCAACGCCGCGUGAGUGAUGAAGGUCUUCGGAUCGUAAAACUCUGUUAUUAGGGAAGAACAUAUGUGUAAGUAACUGUGCACAUCUUGACGGUACCUAAUCAGAAAGCCACGGCUAACUACGUG